UUAAAAAAAAAAAUAAUCAAACAAAAAAAAAAAUAAUCAAACAAAAAUAAACUAAAUUACACUAAAAAUGAUUCUCAAAAUAAGAUACAGGAUCCGCUGAUCCUUGUUUCUGUACAGGCCUGUUCCACAGAUGGAUGAAAGGAGAUGAAGAUACCUCCAGGCACCCACACCCACACCACCACACCACCACACCGCAAGCACACAUUCGCAAUCGAACUCGAACUCGAACUCGUCAACGCUUUUGCACAACUAUACUAUUGCAGGAUGGAACCGGCCGAAAGCACAGGGGAUGGCAUCCUGGACAAGAGCUUCAUUGGGCAGAUAAACCAAGAAGCAAACUAUAAGCAGCCUCUACCUUGGUAUUGAAGGCUCUGCUGUCGAUGCCAUCGGCACAGGAUCCGCUGAUCCUUGUUUCUGUACAGGCCUCUUCCACAGAUGGAUGAAAGGAGAGGAAGAUACCUCCAGGCACCCACACCCACACCACACCACAACUAUACUAUUGCAGGAUGGAACCGGCCGAUAGCACAGUGGAUGGCAUCCUGGACAAGAGCUUCAUUGGGCAGAUAAACCAAGAAGAAAACUAUAAGCAGCCUCUACCAUGGUAUUGAAGGCUCUGCUGUCGAUGGCAUCGGCACUCGACACUGUGGGCUCUGGUCUCGGCUCUGAAUAUCGUGGAUCACAUUAAGAAACAGAACAACAAAUCACGGAUUAUUGCCAGCACAGAACACCAAUCGACACAUUUUAUCGACUUUGUUUAUAGCAAAUGGGGGAUCAUUAAAAAUUUGAUUUAAUUAAC
rnacentral:misc_RNA from 1 species